CAAAUUAUGCUUUCAGAAGCCAUUGCAAUAGUUAUGGCACCAAGAGACAGUUCAAGGUGAAGACAGUGGCUCGGAUUGUGAAAAGUGAUGCAGGGAAAGUAAUUUGCAGGGAAGCAGAGAGGAUCAAACCUGCGGCUGUAGUUCUAGGAUCAAGAGGCAGAAGCUUAAUUCAAAGCGUGCUACAGGAAAGUGUUGGAGAGUACUGCUUCCACCACUGCAAAGCAGCACCUGUUGUCAUCGUUCCUGAAAAAGAUGCUGGAGAUGCAUCAAUAUUGUAGUAAAGCUUUGUACGUAUGUCAAUUGGCCUUGUUAAUAUAUCUAACAGUCAUGUUUAGUGAAAUGAAGAUUAGUUCCGACUCAUUUUCACCAAGAAUAGAGAUGUUUUCCUUGCAUAUGUUCACAUGUUAACUACUAGCAUGUUAUUAAUUCAAUGGCUUAGUAACUCAUUUUCUCAUUGUGUUGUUUAGACUUUCUUUGAUGUUACAAAGUAUUUGGACAACUUUAUUUUUGGAAUAAGUUUAUUUGAGUUGCUGUUAGAUUCUACUAGUAUAAAUAU